rnacentral:rRNA from 1 species
CUUGUAGGCGGUUUUGUAAGUCUGAAGUAAAAGCCCGCAGCUUAACUGCGGAUCUGCUUUGGAAACUGCAUGACUUGAAUCUGUGAGGGGACACUGGAAUUCCUUGUGUAGGGGUGAAAUCUGUUGAGAUAAGGAAGAACACCGGAGGCGAAGGCGAGUGUCUGGCGCAUGAUUGACGCUGAUGAGCGAAAGCGUAGGGAGCGAACAGGAUUAGAUACCCUGGUAGUCC